UACAUGUUGCGCCGCAGGAAAAAGAAGAAGAAAAAAAGACGCAGUAUACUAAUGACAGCCACCUCCAUGCUGACUGCUUUGAUUUCUGAACAGAGCGAGCCAGCCCGGGUAAAGCCGUAAUUACCUCUCAAGGAUAAACGAUAAUAUCACUUUCCUCAUCACGUCUUUGGGGCGAGACGGUCGACGCUGCACUCUCAUAGGCAAACGAAGCGACUUCUAUAUAAGACGGUUCGUCCGCAACGCUUUCCGGACUGAGCUGGAAUGUCAAGUGAAUGCCACUUGAUUGUUUUCAGGUGGAUUCACUUGACAUUCCAGCUCAGGUUUUUCCGUGCGGGUGUUUGACUGGAAAAGCAGACUAAGAACACUUCACCUGCACGUCAAUGGCAAACAGUUCAUCUUCCUUCUUUUGCUGUAACUACUCCGAAGAGGUUGAAGGGAACAGUUUGAGAUCUUCCUUGACAACAAGGCAAAAAUGUGUGCUAUACAAUGGAGAAGAGGUGGAAAACUUUUUUUUUUUUCAAGUUAAUCCACUCGGGAUUCCAGAUGAAGAUUUUUUUUCUCCGUGAGAGUGUUUGACUGGAAAGACAGACUGUGGUAAGUACAUGGAUUUGCCCUCCUCUUUUGCAAUACAUAUACUAUAUAUAAUGCUUUUCUAUGAACAUGCAAGUCAUUUAUGGAAAUGCAAAUAUGAGGAACGACAAGGUUUCAUGCCUCUCGCUUUCAGUGGCGACAUGCAGGUCUUUGUGAUUUAAGGAAUGCUUUCCUAGCCCAUCACAGGAAGUGAAAACGUUUGCAAACAGUUAAUUUUUUUUUUAUUUAGAUACAAGGACAGUGAGAUCACAGCCCUUUUAGAUAGUGAGAUUCCAUAGCCAGAGUGAUGUCGACCAAUUGUUCUGCCAAGAGAGUAAAUGUUGCCUGGGCAGCGGCGAAGUUUUAACUCACGUUCUAAGCACAAACAGCAUACAUCUGAGCAUUCGUUAUCGUAAUAGGUCCUUGUAAGAUUGGCUGUCUCUAAGCAUUUUUGCAGCUGGCGUGUUUCGUUUCGUGUUAGGGUAACACCAGAACGCUUCGGUUUACCGUUUUCACUCCAAAUGCGUACCACAAGCAAGUCAGAAGGGCACGAAUGUACAUAAACAUAUUUUUCCAGUUCAGCUUCUUUGCUGCAAUUGCCCUGAUGAAGCUGAAGGGAAGAGGAUGGAAGCUUCGUUAGCUCGAUGAUCACCACAACAAGCAAAAACGUGUGCCACACAACGGAGAAGAGAACACACAAACAUCUAUCCAUGUCUGUUCACUCACAAUGAAAUGAGAGGGCUUAGUACAAAUGUACAUUUUUAUUUCCCUGAUACAUGAGCGGUGAUUAUUUUUUUUAUGCUCCAUUGUGCACCAGUCGAUGUUUGAAGAGGUCAAGUGUUAGCUUGCUGAUGUAGCCUGUUAAGUAGUGCCAACCUUCAGACUCGGCUUGUUCCAUGAAACAUAGACUCUCGGCAGCAAGAUGCAUAGCGUCAACCUCGUCAGCAUAUGUCAAAAUUUCGUCCACGUGACGUGACCAUUCAGCAAGUAAGGCAAAAGGUGAUUCCGAGGCAAACGUACAGGCGGUGUGAACUCUGGCAUACAUUGUUUUUGCAGUUUUCCAAGUAACCCUGUCAGGAGGUUGAUCUGGCAGCGCUUGAAACAACACCAUAUCCGUCACAAUUUUAAAAGCUUCCACGAGCGAAGUUUUGCCUACUUGUGUUAACCCACAUUCCAAUAUCUCUUUGUAGGAGACGUGUUUGAGACGACACACAGGCUGCAUCCGAAAUUCGUGUGUGUAACCUCUUCUCCAUCUGCCACACACAUCUCUACCUAGCACAGGCUGCUCUUCAUCUGCGUCUGAUGAUGACAACCAUGCGCCAUCAAGCCGAGGAUCAACCUCAGGCCAUGUUGUGUCAUCGGCGGCUGACUUGUCUUGACUGGUCAUUACAAACCAAGUUCAUUCUAUACAGCAAGAGGAGAAAGCAAAUUGUCAACAUAACAGCGAAGCCUCCAUAACACAAAAAAUGAGCAACAUACCCAAAAACGAAAAGUUCGAAGUGCUGGACAUUCAGAAAAUUGACACUAUGUAUGGCGAGGCCGUAUACGUGGAGCUCCGCAUGGAAAACGACAAGCCAGUGAAAGUGUAUCUACCUGGACGCUUCAAAAAAUUGUCGGAGGAAGAGCUA